UACCACAUUCAUGGUACAUGCCACUAGCACC
rnacentral:piRNA from 1 species